UCCCCAACACUUCCUGAACCCUUUUGAAUUUCUUGAGUAGUCGCUUUCAAUGUUGCAAAACUCACAAUGCGACCAGUCUUAAUUCCCUCUUCUAUCAUCUCCCCCAUUUUAAGGACCUCAAUAAACGGCUUGCCUAACGCAGGUAACAAAUGUUAAUAAUAUGUUUUGUCUUGCGCUUGAGUAAACACCUUCACUAUCUUGCUUUCUUUCAUUGACGGCUUCACCCUAGCAUCUUGUUCA
rnacentral:lncRNA from 1 species